AUGUAAUAAUGUUCAUCAAAUGUCUGACCUGAAAUGAGCAUGUAGACAAGUUAAUUUAACACUGAAGAA
ensembl:snoRNA